AAUCGUGAAUCAGAAUGUCACGGUGAAUACGUUCCCGGGCCUUGUACACACCGCCCGUCACACCAUGGGAGUGGGUUGCACCAGAAGUAGAUAGCUUAACCGCAAGGGGGGCGUUUACCACGGUGUGGUCCAUGACUGGGGUGAAGUCGUAACAAGGUAACCGUAGGGGAACCUGCGGUUGGAUCACCUCCUUACGAAGA
rnacentral:rRNA from 1 species